rnacentral:misc_RNA from 1 species
GUAAACUAGGAUGUUUUAAUUAUCCUCUCCUAUUACUAGUUUAAGGCAGUAUUGAGUGUGUUUGUAAUUUGCUUCCCUGAUUUUAAAUAUCUUUCUGCAAACUUGUGCUAGCAUAAGCUUUUAUUCUUAUGCUAUGUCAAUAAAUGUUUUGACGAUAGAAUAAGCACAUUUGGAUGCCUCCGUUAGAUUUGGGAGAGCAGA